UCCGUAGGUGGCAAGCGUUGUCCGGAUUUACUGGGCGUAAAGAGCGCGCAGGCGGCCAAGUCAGUCGAACGUGAAAGCCCCCGGCUCAACUGGGGAAGGACAUUCGAUACUGCUUGGCUCGAAGAUAGGAGAGGGAAGCGGAAUUUCAGGUGUAGUGGUGAAAUGCGUAGAUAUAUGAAGGAACACCAGUGGAGAAGGCGGCUUUCUGGCCUAUUCUUGACGCUGAGGCGCGAAAGCUAGGGGAGCGAACGGG
rnacentral:rRNA from 1 species